rnacentral:rRNA from 1 species
UGGGGAAUUUUGGACAAUGGGCGCAAGCCUGAUCCAGCAAUGCCGCGUGAGUGAAGAAGGCCUUCGGGUUGUAAAGCUCUUUUGUCAGGGAAGAAACGGCCCAGGCUAAUAUCCUGGGCUAAUGACGGUACCUGAAGAAUAAGCACCGGCUAACUACGUGCCAGCAGCCGCGGUAAUACGUAGGGUGCAAGCGUUAAUCGGAAUUACUGGGCGUAAAGCGUGCGCAGGCGGUUUUGUAAGUCUGACGUGAAAUCCCCGGGCUCAACCUGGGAAUUGCGUUGGAGACUGCAAGGCUGGAGUCUGGCAGAGGGGGGUAGAAUUCCACGUGUAGCAGUGAAAUGCGUAGAGAUGUGGAGGAACACCGAUGGCGAAGGCAGCCCCCUGGGUCAAGACUGACGCUCAUGCACGAAAGCGUGGGGAGCAAACAGG